GAAUUCACUGAGUGAUUCAGGCCUAACACAUGCAAGUCGAACGCACUUCUUUUCACCGGAGCUUGCUCCACCGAAAAGAAGUGAGUGGCGGACGGGUGAGUAACACGUGGGCAACCUGCCCACCAGAGGGGGAUAACACUUGGAAACAGGUGCUAACACCGCAUAAUUGCUUUUGCCGCAUGGCGAAAGUAUGAAAGACGCUUCGGUGUCACUGGUGGAUGGGCCCGCGGUGCAUUAGUUAGUUGGUGGGGUAACGGCCUACCAAGACCAUGAUGCAUAGCCGACCUGAGAGGGUGAUCGGCCACACUGGGACUGAGACACGGCCCAGACUCCUACGGGAGGCAGCAGUAGGGAAUCUUCGGCAAUG
rnacentral:rRNA from 1 species